rfam:Volvox carteri f. nagariensis unplaced genomic scaffold VOLCAscaffold_58, whole genome shotgun sequence.
UUGAGCCGUAUGCGUUGAAACACGCACGUACGGUUCUGUGUGUGUGUGUGUGUUUAAUGAUCUGAGCCGUGCUUAGGGAUGAGGAAAAAGGUACGGAAAACACACU